rnacentral:rRNA from 1 species
GGCUACGGGUAACGGGGAAUCAGGGUUCGAUCCCGGAGAGGGAGCCUGCGAGACGGCUACCACGCUUAAGGGUGGCAGCAGGCGCGCAACUUACCCACUCCCAGCACGGUGAGGUAGUGAAGAUAAAUGUCGGGGCUGGGCUCGCUUGCGAGCCUAGCGGUCGGAUUGAGCGUAGACCAAACACGUGCCGUUGAUGACCUAUCGGAGGGCAAGUCUGGUGCCAGCAGCCGCGGUAAUUCCAGCUCCGCUGAAACUUAAAGGAAUUGACGGAAGGGCACCACCAGGAGUGGGGUCUGCGGCUCAAUUUGACUCAACACGGGGAAGCUUACCAGGUCCGGACACCGCGUGGAUUGACAGACUGAGGCUCUUUCAUGAUUCGGUGGGUGGUGGUGCAUGGCCGUUGCUAGCCCGUGGAGCGAUCCGUCUGGUUCAUUCCGAUAACGGGCGAGACUCUGCCCUGGCGGAUAACAAACGGCGGUCGAGAGGGGAUCCUUCUCACGGGUUUGAGGUGGGGGGACGGGGGUGGUCGGCGUUCGGCGGCGUUCUCGGGCUCUCGGGCUCGGGUCGUCGCGGGGUAAAGACUUCCUCUCCCCUCUCCCUCUUCCCACUCAGGGAGAGUCGGUGUCCCCGGACCGCCGUCGCGCAGGCCGCGUCCUGCAGGGAUUGACCUCGAGCAGUGCGUACGAGAGGGAGCCAUAACAGGUCUGUGAUGCCCUUAGACGUCCUGGGCUGCACGUGUGCUACAGUGGUGACGCCAGCCGGCGCGGUGUAGACCGUGAGCGUAGGAGUCUUCAUGUCCGGGGUCGGUCUUCCUGCGAGUUGGGCCGUGAACUCGGAAUGCCACGUAGUCACGGGUCAGCAUCCCGUGCCGACUACGUCCCUGCCCUUUGUACACACCGCCCGUCGCUACCUUCGGUGGACGGCGCAGCCAGGACCCCGGAGUGGCCGGCGAGACGGGGCUUCGCSCUCCUGAUAUCGCAGUCGCCGCGAUGUCGUCCGAACUGCGCUGCCCCGAGAGGGUAAAAGUCGUAACAAGGUUA